rnacentral:rRNA from 1 species
CCUACGGGGUGCUGCAGUGAGGAAUAUUGGUCAAUGGGCGAGAGCCUGAACCAGCCAAGUCGCGUGAGGGAGUACUGCCCUAUGGGUUGUAAACCUCUUUUGUCGGGGAGCAAAAGCCGGACGUGUCCGGCUGUGAGAGUACCCGAAGAAAAAGCAUCGGCUAACUCCGUGCCAGCAGCCGCGGUAAUACGGAGGGUGCAAGCGUUGUCCGGAAUCAUUGGGCGUAAAGAGUUCGUAGGUGGCAUAUUAAGUCUGGUGUUAAAUGCAGAAGCUCAACUUCUGUUCGGCACUGGAUACUGGUAAGCUUGAAUGCGGUAGAGGUAAAGGGAAUUCCUGGUGUAGCGGUGAAAUGCGUAGAUAUCAGGAGGAACAUCGGUGGCGUAAGCGCUUUACUGGGCCGUAAUUGACACUGAGGAACGAAAGCCGGGGUAGCAAAUGGGAUUAGAUACCCGAGUAGUC